GAGACGCUCAAGUUCUUAUCAGCUGAAAAAGGAGGAAGAGCUCUCUCCCUCUCCCUCUCUCUCUCUCUGUGUUUUUACUUCUUCGUUUCGGAUUGUCUGUUGUCAUUCCCACCCAGUAAAAGCCGAGACAGCAGCCUGCUUCUUAGUAGCUGUGCAACUCUGCAGAUCGUUUGCUUUUUACAUUUUCCUGUCUUUUUGUUUUUUUAAAAAAAAUACAAUGGUUUCAAUCAUCUCUGAUCUGGACCCACUGAAAAGCUGGAAAGUUUUAAGGUAGGCCUGUUUCUUUCUUUCUUUCUUUCUUUCUUUCUUUCUUUCUUUCUUUCUUUCUUUCUUCCCCCAUAGGAACCCCUCCUCCGUUUACCUUACUCACAAGUACAACGCAUGCACGGGCUUGGUCUGCGCUUCAGAAUCACAUGGGGCUUAACCUCGACUGCACUGCAAUCUCGGUGCUGUAACCACAAUAUGAAUUCCUGGGUUUAAGAUACAACAAGAGUUUCUGGUAAUUAGACCCCCCCCCUCCUUUUAAAAAAAAAAAAAAAGGAUGAGGGGGGUUCAGCUGAUGUUUCAGCGGAGUCUUCAUUGAGAACUUUGAAUAUAUCCCUUAAUGCAGACCGGAAAAGUUGGUUGCCUUGUUAUUUUAAAGUGGGAUUUAUUUCGAAGCUGGAGCUGUAAUAAGUUUAACACUGGCUGAGACUGCUAAAGAGUUGAAAAACUUGUGGGGUUUUAUUAUUAGUAUUUGCUUCGUCGGAGAAAGGAUUUUCUAAGUGAUGUGUGCAUUGCUGCCUUAGCAGAGGGCAUGUCAUUAAUUUUAGGGGAAAUUUCCCUUAUUUUUGAGCUUUACAGAAUACUUUUGGGAAACUAUUUAUGCAAGGCAUGAUUUUGGUUCUUGAGGGUUGUUUGUGCCUUAACUCUACUUUUAAAAAAGUAAAUGGGAAGGGAAUGGUUACUGCUUAAAUGGGUUUUACACGAAUUCGACCUGUCACAAUAGUGUUCUGAAAUGCUUUGUGAGGCUACCCAUCAAGUUUUUGGUUUAUAAAGUACACUGCUUCCUAAAAGUUUUGGGAUGGCACUGCAGCCCUUUCUUAAAACUUCUACUUGGAAAACUAACCACAAUUCUCUUGAUAUAUCUCCAUCCUUUUGCAUUUUAUAUCCAAUGAGGAAAGGCCUUUGAAGAAGCAUAUGGCUGCUGUUUAUUGCAAUGAUGUGAUAAGAUGAGAUGAGAAUCUGUUCUUUGGUGGCCUUAUUAUUACAAUUUUAAGGACGGAUGUGCUGCAAAGUCGUUUAUCUUUGCAGCAAGGUGUUUAUCUUACAGCAAGGUGUGUGCAUGUUGUGAACAGAGGACUGUGAACAGACACCUCCCACGCAAACACAUUUGCUGACGGCAAAUGUGUGGAGGGGCUUUCAAAUCCCUCUAUGCAUGUUCUAUAUAAGUUGCAUUGGAGGAGGAGGUGCGUCUGUGUACAUGACUUGCUAAAGGCAAGAAGGGGUUGUAAUGCUAUAGCUUCCCACCCUUGUUUCCAGUGAUACAAUGCAUCCCAAUGGCAGCAUCAGCUAUGAUUGCUUGGAGGGUUUGUGUGUAUCUAGCGAUUUUCUUUUCUCUUCUAAUCUUGUGCUUCACAGACAAGGACACCAGGCCUUAACCUUGAAAGGGGUGCCUUGCCUAGAUGUUUCCUUUCAUAUCUGCAAGCGUGCAACGCUGGUAGGGGCGGCACGUUAUCUAUUGUGUGUUAGAAUGGAAAGUAUUUGUUGUUUGUGGCUCCUGUUCUUGAUCUUUGGACAUUUGGCUUGCCAAAUUACUUCCCCCCACACCACACCACCCCUGACUGCUGGGGCAACUUCAAUAGGAUGACAUGAAGAACUCAUUGGCAUACAGAUAAAGGGUAGAAAAGGUCUCUCUCUCUCUCUCCAAAAGACACAAGAGAACAACUAAUCAAAGAUUGGCACCCACAAUGCUUUCUUACUGAUGUUGCUGUGAGAAAAUGUUGUAUUUGCAGAGAGCAAAUGCACUUGAAUACAGGGAGAAGGGUGCAUGCCUCUUAAAUGUCUUAGAUUUAAAGACAAGUCAUAGAAUAAUUUAGAGUUGGAAAGGACAAUGUAGGUCAUCCAAGCAAUGCAGGGAUCUUUUGUCCAAAGUGAGAUUCGAACCCGCAACCCUGGGAUUAAGAGCCUCGGGCUGCACUGACAGAGCUAUCCCAGGCUGGCAGUCAAAAUGUGUUUAGAAGAUUUGUGGCGAUACUUUUGGUCCUGGCUUCAAUGGCCUGAUAAACAUAUUAUUUGUCGGGGGGCACGUCUCAUUUAUUAUUUAGCUCAGAUUAGUUUAAAUGUCUUUUAAAACCAAAACUAUUCAGAUUAUUUUAC